rnacentral:rRNA from 1 species
UACGAAGGGGGCUAGCGUUGUUCGGAAUUACUGGGCGUAAAGGGCGCGUAGGCGGUGUGUCAAGUCAGGCGUGAAAGCCCCGGGCUCAACCUGGGAACAGCGCUUGAGACUGGCACGCUCGAGUUCGGGAGAGGAUGGUGGAAUUCCCAGUGUAGAGGUGAAAUUCGUAGAUAUCGGGAGGAACACCGGUGGCGAAGGCGGCGACCUGGGUCGAUACUGACGCUGGAGCGCGAAAGCGUGGGGAGCAAACAGG